ensembl:misc_RNA Metazoa_SRP Metazoan signal recognition particle RNA
GCUGGGUGUGGUGGCGCAUGCCUGUGGUCCUAGCUACUUGGGAGGCUGAGGUGGGAGGAUCACUUGAGCCCGGGAGGCAGAGGCUGCAGUGAGCCAAGAUUAUGCCACUGCAUUCUAGCCUGGGUGACAGAGUAAGACUCCAUCUCAA